rnacentral:rRNA from 1 species
UGUACACGCUGUGACUAGCAUAUCAAUAAGCGGAGGAAAAGAAACUAACAAGGAUUCCCCUAGUAACGGCGAGUGAAGCGGGAAGAGCUCAAAUUUGAAAUCUUAAAGGGUUUCCCUUUACGAAUUGUAGUUUAAAGAAGUGUUUUCUGUUGAGGUUUUGGUAAAAGUUCUUUGGAAUAGGACAUCAUAGAGGGUGAGAAUCCCGUAUUUGACCUUUACUUUCAACUUUGUGAUACACUUUCAAAGAGUCGGAUUGUUUGGGAAUGCAGUCCAAAAUGGGUGGUAAAUUUCAUCUAAAGCUAAAUAUUGGCGAGAGACCGAUAGCGAACAAGUACCGUGAGGGAAAGAUGAAAAGAACUUUGAAAAGAGAGUUAAACAGUACGUGAAAUUGUCAAAAGGGAAGCGUUUGACACCAGUGUUGUUUUUCUGAAAAUCAAUUAAAGAACUGUUUAUGCUAAGCUGUUUAGACUUUAUCAGCUAUCUGUUUAGUUUUGAGCUUUUCUUUAAUGCACUUUUCAGUUAACAAGUCAACAUCAAUUUCUUUUGCUGUAAAAAAGCUUGAGGAAGGUGGCUUGAGAUUCGUCUUAAGUGUUUAUAGCCUCUUGCCUAUGCAGUCGGAGAGAUUGAGGUCUGCAGCGUAGAUCCUUCGGGGCUAAAUGCAUUUGUGCUAAGUUAUAGCAUUUUAUAGACAACUUGUUGACUAUGAUUUGUCUUGUAGCUUACUCGCUUAUGUUAUUUUACCUACGCUUAGGAUGUUGACUGAUAUGUAGUCGUA